rnacentral:other from 1 species
GUUCUACUGCGGUGUUGGUGACUGCCAAUAGUGUUUUUUGAUCUAUGCCUAAAGAAACAAGGGAACCAUGUAUUCUCGCAGCAGUAGACCGAGCAUGUACUCGGAAACUUUAAGCGAGAUUUCGUCGGUACCCACCUGGUUAUCCAGGUCAUAAGCUGAGGCAAGACGGCAUCGUGGGGAACCU